rnacentral:rRNA from 1 species
CCCUUUCGGGGGUCCAGCCCGGCACGACGUGGUGUAGUCAACGCGUGGGAACGCUACCAUUUGCUACGGAAUAACUCAGGGAAACUUGUGCUAAUACCGUAUGAGCCCCCCUUUAAAAUUUCAGGAAUCAUAAAAUGCCCUGCCAUUUUUUGGGGGGGAAAGAUUUAACGGCAAAUGAUCGGCCCGCGUUGGAUUAUCUACUUGGUGGGGUAAAGGCCUACCAAGGCGACAAUCCAUACCUGGUCUGAGAGGAUGAUCACCCACACUGGGACUGAGACACGGCCCAGACUCCUACGGGAGGCACCAUUGGGGAAUAUUGGACAAUGGGCGCAAGCCUGAUCCUUCCAUGCCGCGUGAAUGAUGAAGGCCCUAGGGUUGUAAAGCUCUUUCACCGGUGAAAAUAAUGACGGUAACCGGAAAAGAAGCCCCGGCUAACUUCAUGCCAACAGCCGCGGUAAUACGAAGGGGGCUAGCGUUGUUCGGAUUUACUGGGCGUAAAGCGCACCUAGGCGGGCUAAUAAGUCAGGGGUGAAAUCCCGGGGCUCAACCCCGGAACUGCCUUUGAUACUGUUAGUCUUGAGUAUGGUAGAGGUGAGUGAAAUUCCGAGUGUAGAGGUGAAUUUCCUAGAUAUUCGGAGGAACUCCAAUGGCAAAGGCAGCUCACUGGACCAUUUCUGACGCUGAUGUGCGAAAGCCUGGGGACCAAACAGGAUUAGAUACCCUGGUACUCCACGCCGUAAACGAUGACUGUUAGCCUUUGGGGAGUUUACUCUUCGGUGGCGCAGCUAACGCAUUAAACUUUCCGCCGGCGGAGUACGGUCGCAAAAUUAAAGCUCAAGGAAUUGACGGGGGCCCGCCAAACGGUGGAUCGGGUGGUUUAAUUCGAAACAACGCGCAAAACCUUACCGGCCCUUGACAUCCCGAUCCCGGUUAGGGAAACGCUAUCCUCCACUCCGCUGGAACGGAAACGGUGCUGCAUGGCUGUCGCC